rnacentral:rRNA from 1 species
AGGGGAAUACUAGAUGAAUCGUUGAGUAGGUGAAUUACUUACAUUUGUAAGUGCUCAGUGUGUUUAUGGUGAAGAGAUGAUAUGUCUUGGUUGCAUGUUAUUCUUGACUCGUGCUUGAAAACAUGCAACAUCUAGGCAUAUGCACUUUUCUUCCACUAUACUUAUGCAUACAUGAUCCAGAGUAAGUAGGUCGGUCAUCCAUUUGACCCGUCUUGAAACACGGACCAAGGAGCCCAACAUUUAUGCGAGUCGCACAGUCUUGCUUAGGCUUGUGAGGCGAAAUAAACAUGAUGUUGUGACUGUUAUCACUCAUUCAACGGUAAUAACAUGCAACAACAACCUGUUUCAUCUUUGUUAUAUAAGUGAAACGGCGUUUGAGCAUAAAUGUUGGUACCCGAAAGAUGGUGAACUAUACUUGGGCAAGACGAAGCCAGAGGAAACUCUGGUGGAGGUCUGUAGCGAUUCUGACGUGCAAAUCGAUCGUCAGACCUGAGUAUAGGGGCGAAAGACUAAUCGAACCAUCAGUA